AAAGAUUUAGUUAAAUAAAUAACAUUAAUUUGUCAAAUUAAAAUUAUUAAAUUUUUAAUAAUCUUUA
rnacentral:tRNA from 1 species